rnacentral:rRNA from 1 species
UACGGGGGGGGGCAAGCGUUGUUCGGAAUUACUGGGCGUAAAGGGCUCGUAGGCGGCCAACUAAGUCAGACGUGAAAUCCCUCGGCUUAACCGGGGAACUGCGUCUGAUACUGGAUGGCUUGAGUUUGGGAGAGGGAUGCGGAAUUCCAGGUGUAGCGGUGAAAAUGCGUAGAUAUCAGGAGGAACACCAAUGGCGAAGGCAGCUCACUGGGACGGUACUGAGCUGGAGACGCGAAAAGCGUGGGGGAGAAAACAG